UACGUAGGGUGCAAGCGUUGUCCGGAAUUAUUGGGCGUAAAGAGCGUGUAGGCGGCCCCGUUAGUCCGCUGUGAAAGUCCAGGGCUCAACCCUGGAAUGCCGGUGGAUACUGUCGGGCUUGAGUACGGGAGAGGCGAGUGGAAUUCCUGGUGUAGCGGUGAAAUGCGCAGAUAUCAGGAGGAACACCGAUUGCGAAGGCAGCUCGCUGGAACGUUACUGACGCUGAGACGCGAAAGCGUGGGUAGCAAACAGG
rnacentral:rRNA from 1 species